rnacentral:lncRNA from 1 species
AUGCGUGCAUCUGUGUCGGUAUUUCUGAUGACAAUGCAUUGGAGGAAAGCCGCAGACAGAAUGCCCUCACUGGCGUGGCCCCACACAACCGUUACCUUCGAAAUGUGGCCCAGAACCCUUCAGAGGAGGAGGAGGAGGACGAGAGGCCUGCAGAAGUCUGGGACGUUGCCAGAGGUUUGUGUCCCAGCUGGAUGCUGUGCCUGUAGGAGUAGAGGCCAGGAUCAGAGGGGCAGAGCAGUUUCAUGCAGUGUUGAUUUAUAAAGAUAUUCAGUUUUGUAUUUUUCAAGGUUGCCUGAGUGAGUCAGAUAUUAAAGAUUUGUCAGCGUGGUGGAGGUUGCGUCAGCAGGCAACUUUUAUAGCUAAUACAACUUGCUUUUGACUGGUUCAAGCACUCAACAUUAUCUGGAAAUGAAUUUCCAUUAAAGGUUCCAACAAAGACAUUCCAGUGGAGUUAAUGGUUUAAAGUGAUUGAAUUCUUCUCUUCUGUGAGCCACAGUUAAUGUCUAUAACAAUUAGAAGGAUGUUUUCAAAUAUUAGUCAAGUUGUUUUGGUUAUUUUUUGUUGUUUUGUGGUAUUAAUGAACGUCAAAGAUCAUCAAAUUUCCUCAUAGUAAAUCACUUUCAUUUUUGUAGGGAUUUUUGACACCAGGAGAAAGAAACUAUUGCUGAAGGAAUCAGACACCAAAAAGAAGCGGAUGCCAAGAAUGACUCCUCGAAUUGGAGUGUGGUUUUAACAACAUUUGCAAUACAUAUAUGCUCAAAUUAUUCUUUUUAAAUAGAGUACAUAGAAAGUGUAUUUCUCAAUGUUCUGCUUUGACAUGUUGCAUUCAUCUAGUGUUGUUCAGAGUCAGUAUGACCCACUUAAAAGUUAAAAAGUCGUCAGUUCGCAUCAGCUCAUUGUAACUAUUUUCUCCAUUCUAUUUUUUUUUUUUAACUGUUUUUACUGGAUAUAGGAUAAAGGGAUAAAGUUCAAAACAAAUUGCAUUUAAGCAACGCUAUCAUCUGGUGACCCAUCAUCAUGCAUGUAAUGCAAAUGAUCCCGAUUUAAUGUGUAAAAAGCAAUCACACUCUCUUUUGUACUUACUUUAUUCAUGGUUUUAAGCAUAUUGUAGGACAUUCCCCUGCAUUGCUGUGUAACUGAAAACCCCCUAAACAUAUCACUCAUAGGAUAAUUAAACCCAGCUGAAAUACAUUUAUUCAAGUUUUAAAACACUAAACAGAGGUCUUCAAUAAUUUGUAAAAUUAUGUUUAGGUUACUCACAUUCUGUUUUCAGCACAUUGAUACAAUUUUAAUGAAGAAAAUAAUUCAUUAUAAACAUAAAAGUGAGGCAUUUUUAAGUUUGUGUGUUUGCCGUACAUUUGGUGCUUUACACAUUUAGUAUUACAUGAUGGAGCACAAACUCAGGAUUGACAUGAUAUGUAAAAGAUGCUUAAAAGCAUAACUAAAGAGGUGACAAAUAAGAGACAGGUCAUUGAGGGAACAUAGAACCGGUUGGACUAUUGCUCCAAGAAUGGAAAGAGAGAAAGACAAGGGGAGAAAAAAGAAGGGAAAAAAGAUUUUUCAAUUAUUCAUUCACCAAUGUGAAAGAACACGUUUUCACCAGUCUGCCUUUUGAUCCAGUCUUAAGCACUGUAUCAAUAUUUCAGAGAAAUCUGCUGAUAUGGUAUGUCCUUUCAGAACUGACAGCAUGGCUUUAAUUUUACUCCGACUACUGCAUGUAUGUGUUACGUUUUGUUUUCGAUAAGAAACAGAGACCCAAAUCUAUAGAAAAUCAUAGUUCCUAUAUUAAAAAGGGAAAUAGAAAUGAAAAAAAGAGCUUACAAAGACGCUAUUUUUUUGUUAUACACAUUAAAAAGUUACUACUCUGGUGUGUUAUAGUCAAUUUUUGCUGAUGCUUUAUCAAUAUGUAUUAAUUCUUAUAAAAAAUUAUGCUGUUAAUUGGUAGUGGUGUGAACUGAGGCAGUUUUAAUCAAGUACUGUUAGUUUCAAAGCCAUGAAUGUCUGUUCAUGCUGUACAGCAAUAACAAAUAAAUUGUGUAAUUGGGGAAAAAACGCAACAAAUUUUAACCAUACUAGAAAAUGGCUUGUUUACUUACAGCUGUGAAGGUUUUUCUUUGUAAUAUUGAAAAAAAGGCUUAUUUCUGAAGUAUGUAUGUCUAGUUAUUUCUACCUUUUUUUAAACAUACACCAAUAAAGCCUGAAAGUUGCAUAUUUUGUAUGUUCUGUGAAUAUAUUAUCACUAAUUUGUAAAAACAACAACAACAACAACAACAAACAAAAAACAUUUUUUGUGUAUUUCAUAUAAUUACCAAUGCGGCUUGUGGAGUACAGCAUUAUUAAUGGCAAGGUAUGUGCACAUGACCUGUAGAGUAAUUUUGGUUUUGUUUGGUUGACUGAAGUCUCACAGGGCUUAAUUAGAUAGCACAGCAGCAGUCAUAUCGGUGGCUCACCUUCUCUCCAUUGCUUUCAAUUUGCAAGCUGUCUCAACUCAGAUUAAUAUAGAUCCUGAUGGGAAUGAACGCUUCAGAAUCAGGUGGUUCUUGCUGAUUGAGAAAAGAAAAUGUCAGUGGUGUCUUCCUAAAAUCAAAUGUACUGUUUAUAGAUGUGGCAUGUGGAUCUUUGAAGAAGGUGUUGUCAUAUUUUACAGUAAUACUCCAAAUCCUUGCUAUCCUGCUGCUUACACUUGGUUCCGUUAUUAGCAUUAUCUCUGAUUUUUAUUUUCUACAGGUUUGUCAAACAAACAGGGCAAAUCAAAUUCAUGCCUCAGAGGUGAAACUAUCACAUGUAACAUGGCAAAGAGUUUAGCCAAAGAGCUAAAGAGCCAAAGAGAUAAUGCUACAACUGACAUUAUUAAUAGUUUUAUACUGCUGGCGUUGCUAACAGUGGUUUUGCAGUCGCAGUUAGCAUAUCAGUAGUAAAUGAAGGCUGUGUUUGAGAGUUCUGUGAAGUAACACUACGUGGAAAUGUUUGUCAGUACAGCAAAGAUGGAAACACCAAAGUGGUGUUAUCUUUUAGAAUGAUCUGUCUGUCUAUCUAUCUAUCUAUCUAUCUAUCUAUCUAUCUAUCUAUCUAUCUAUCUAUCUAUCCACACACACACACAUAUAUAUAUCUGUCUCUUAUACACAUCUGUGGUGCUGUCCGUGGUGCUGAUUAUUUUUGUUUCUUUUGUACCAACUGUAAAGUUAUGUGUAGUGUGUAUCAGUUUCCAUUAGGAGGCGGCAAAGGGUGCAUCUUUUCAACCCAGGUAUGAGCACAUUGUGUUUCCUUUCAGGUCCUGAUGGGAGAUGUGCAUGUGAACCCCUUGGUGAUAUACCUGGCGAUCCUGGCCUCCCAGGCCUUCAGGGUGUCCCUGGUUAUCCAGGGCAAAAAGGGUUCCAGGGUCCUCCUGGUGAUGUCGGACCCAUUGGAGAUAUGGGUGGGAGAGGUGUAACUGUACGUAAACCUGGUUGAAAUUCAGUAUGUUUAUAUUCUGCUUGUGUGUAAUUAAUCUUUUUUGUGUGUGUGUGUGUGUGUCUUGUUGUUUCUCAGGGUCCCAGAGGCUUCACAGGUGUCAGAGGGCCUAAAGGAGAGAAAGGAGAAGUUAGGAUGAUCUGCAACGAAAGGGUGAAGCUAUAUUCGCUAGUUAAGUAUUUUUUUUUUUUUUAUAUCCAGAUUUUAAGACUCACCCAAAAUGGUCUAACAUCUAAGGAUAGGUUCUAUAUUAUAAUUCA